AAGGCGUGGAAGAGAAACGGAGUCCUUAUUCCAGGAGCUCAGGCGGAGCUGGUGGAGCCAGAAAACAUAGCUCCUCCAGCUCCGGCUCCACGGGUCCUAAAACAGCUUCAGGGCUGAAGCCGUGCAGGAGCCGGAGCCCAAAUUGCACUAGGCGGCAGGAGCUGAAAAUAGUAGCUCCUCCCGGCUCCACCUUGACUCCGUGCUGAUGCAAAUGAAAUUAUCUCCUAACUUAACCAAAAUUACACCCUAUCUGCCUCCCACCUCAUGGCUGGAAGCAACAGCGGCGCGGCCGCGCUGGGCCUGCAGCUCCGUCAGCCAUGUGCGCCUCCGCUGGAGCCGGCACCGGCACGCGGCCCCGUCUUGGCUGGCACUGCCGCGGGAGGACGGCACGGCGGGGACGAAGCAGCGCGGCCAUGGCCCCAGCAGCAUGGCCUGACAGAGUGACGGAGAUGCAGCAUCGAUUGGGAUGGAGCAGGGCGGCGGGGCCGAACAGACGGAGCUCGCGAGUACCGGGUAGGAUGAGGCCGGAAGCCUGAACUUGCUAGCCCAUGGCGACUGCGAAGGUAUCUGCUCACACCACCAUGGCACCAUCUAUUUCUUUGACUGAACGAGAGAGAAAGCACAGAGCAUAGACGAACGGAUAGGGGUGGACACUCGAAGAGGAAAGAGAAGGUCCACUCCAAAAUUCAUUUGCUAACUGAAUCGAAUAGUUAGGGGUAUAAUAGAUAUUUACCAUUUUUCUAUAUGUUUAUUGAAAAUGAAGAAGCCAUUUUGCCAAAUGAUCAACUCCAUCAGAGAAGCUCCGUCAGAGAAGCGGUUCCACCAAAGAAGCCAAAGAAGCCACGGUCGGAGCUGUUUCAGCUGGAGCUGAAGCCCUACCAAACAAUACCCUUAAUUUUGCCAAACAUACCCUUAAUUUUGAUUUGUUUCAGUGAUUCGUGUACUCUCGUUGUUGUGCCAGCAAUUAUGAAGUAUCGUUGUUGUGCCAGCAAUUAUGAAGUAGCGACUUCGAUGCUACUCAGUUGCUGGCAGCAACGAUAUGGCCUGCCGCUGCGGACAACCUCACAUCUCAGGUCUGAACUUUUUUUUUAGAUCAAUCCCGCUCCAUCUGCUUGCUCUGAAUGCAUCGGUGCGAAAUCACCGUCCCAUCGGAAAUUCCUCCAUCCGCAGUGAAAAAUGAAGCAAGCCUUUCUAUGCAUCCGUUUCUUCCCGACCAGAGAUGAAACACCCAUCCUCCACCCGGAGAACGGAAUUCCAGAACAUCACUACAUCAGUGCAUUUCAAAACGGUCACACCAGAAACUUUGCUGUCACUGUAAUU